AAACUUACUGAUUCACUCCCAUCUAGCUGGGGUGAUUAGAACUGUAAAAUGGUUCAGUGCUUCUCAGCAUUUGUAAGGCCUUCUACAGGUGACAGAGUAAUGCUGGAAACACUGCAUUUAUCUCUGCAGAGGAUCUAAAAAGGAGACAUGCUCCUAAAAAAGCAUUUUACCUGAGGAAACUGCAGCAGCUCUAUCUUUGCCAGCAAAGUACACCGCUCUUUACAAGUCAGAACUCAAGCCCCCUUUUCCUUAUGACUCAGCAUUCCUGUUGGCCCAUACCAAAGCAAGAUGCUACCGGGCUGCUCUGUGAACAGUGGAACUGUUCCAAGGAAAUUAUGAACUACUUUUGUUUUAACAGAUCCUAAUUGCACAAGGAUGAACUGAAAAGUUUCCCAUGACAAACAAUUGCCACUCUCUGCAAAUCAGGAGUGCAGAGACCUCUGCACAUGUCCCUGCCUGUCAUGUUCACUCUUUGUUUUCUUAUCCUCCAUUCUGUUUUUCCCUUGGUUUAAUCAUCAGCCCUAAACACUCUGGUGUGGUCAGGUUAUCACUUACCCCAGUGAGAUGUGGGUCUUUACCCAGACUUUGGGAAAGCAACUGCAUACAGAAUUACCCUGACUGACAAACCCCCACUCAGCAAGGAGCAGCUCUGAUUUCAGUACCUCCCAAACAGAUGUAAACUAGAAACAAUCAGAAGAGAGGAAGGGUAAAGUCGCUAUAUGCACAAACUAACAGGCAUGAAUUUUCACAUAGGCUCCAGUUUUCAAGCAGCCAUCCUACAGCCUAUCUGCCAUGCCUUACAGACACAGUUCACUUUAACCAACUGAUAAAAACCUUGGCUUACCCUGCAAAAAAGGAGAUAACAGCAAGAAAAUGAACCAAUUCAGGAGCUUCAGCUCUUCUGUGCCUAAAUCCAACCGAUAGCCCCAAUGGAAAUAAAUCAGCGUUUAAAACACUUGAACUUUUCAUCAUCCAUUAGAGUAAACAUCCGCUGCUCAUUCAUUUUCCUUUUGCGGGAUCAUUGUCUUCACAAGUCUGAAUGAAUUGAUUUCUUCCAAUUGGGUUGGGUAGCAUGAGAGCUAAAUAUUCCCAACAGAUUGGAGCAUAAUCUGAGUGGUGUGCGUGAAAUAAAUUCCCAUCCAAACAAGGAAGUGACAGAUCAAUGCAGAGCUAACGUUACAAGUGCUGGAAUGGCAGAAGAAAUACAAAAGCACACAUAUGUGCAACAUGGGGCGUACGGGACGAGAAGGAAAGUUUCCCUAUUUUAAUAGGUUAAAUGGAAUUUUGGGAAGGCAGUCAUUACUUGAGAGAGAUCCAAGAAAAGACAAACUACAAAACCCUUAAGAAAACCCAACAAUUCUGGAUAUAGCCCCGUUCUUUCCAUUCCCAACCACACUAACAUCUGCAUUUGUAACAAAACAAAACUCAGAACAAAACCACCAUGUAACAAAAGUCAGUGAAAUCUAGGCUGGCAGCAGGUGCUUUAGUUUCACAUCUCUAAAAUGAAUAAAAAGGCAAAAAUAAGGCAAGUUCACCUUCCUUCCAAUAAAAACCCAUUACCAGGUCCAACAGUGACAGGUUUUGCAGAUACACAUGCGCGCACAUGCACUCAACAGUACUCCAUAAUAUCAGGUUUUCUGGUUAGAACUCAAAGCUGGCAACAGAGAGAAGUCCAGAAGCUUCUCCUCUACUGGUUUAUGCACAACUAAUGAGAUUGCAGUUAUCCUCAUGAUCCUGAUUAGGCCAUCAUUUGUAGCCAGAAUACAGACCGCCCCUCACCAAGGAAAGACAAUUACAUAUGAGGGAACCCAUCCCUCUGAACAUGCCCACGACUCAAACAAUAUCAAUUUCCUUCUCUUUAUUCUCUGAUUUAAGAUACUUUGCUUUUUUUCUUCCCAAUUCCUCCUCUUUUUCGCCUGCUCACCAAAUGGAAGUCACACAGAUAGGAAGGCAGAGAUACCAGCUGCUCUCGCUCUCCAUUUAUCUCUCUUAGGCAUUUAUGUACAUGCUUAACAAUGAGCACAUGCUUGAACCAGUCCUUAUUCAGUGAGACAUUAGAACUCGUUGUAAGCCUGACUGACACCAAGCAGAGUCAAACAAAGUUAACGUUGUGCUUCAAAGUCAUCCCAGACAAGUGGCACUUUAUUAAAUCUUUAUGUGGCAUUGGAUACCUUAACAAUACAGGCCUAAAUGACCUUCAAGAAGCAGCUUACUACAGCAUUUCACAGCAGUUAAGGAACACACAGUAGGGGACAGUUAAGGAAAUGUACCUAACUUCACAUCCUUACCACUCACAAGAAAAAGCUCAAGCAAGCUAACAGUAGAAAACUCAACUGAC
ensembl:lncRNA